AUACAAAGCAUUUAUAGCUGCAGUUCUUUUGUACUUAAUAUAACAAAUUACUAAUGUGUAGAAAUUGCAACAUUUUGUAUGUAUGAGAAAUUCAAUCUACUGGACUAGCAUAAGUACUCAUUUAUCAGUGUAUACACUAGCCCUAUUCACUAGAUUGAAACAAUUUGACAUCCAAAUUCUUUAAAAUUAGUGGUUUAAAACAAAAUAUUAAUAAGAGUUCUUGAGUAAAUAAAAUACACC
rnacentral:lncRNA from 1 species